GCUGUCCGUGAAGGCUCUCAGCUGCGGACACGGCGGUGGGGGUCACGGGGUGACCGAGACCCCCCAGACACACUGCCCCCAGACGCUGCCGCAGGAGGUCGCCCGCGUGGGGAGGGACAGCGGAGAACAGGUCCACGUGGCAAAUGGUGGGGAGGGGCCCAGCCAGGGGACCUGGCCCCCCAGCACCCGGUGGGGUGAGGCGGGAGGAAGGGGGUCACGCAGGCGGGGACCGAGGCUCUAAACGUGGGGUGAGGCGGGAGGAAGCUGAGCACCAGAGGCAAGGAUCGGGGGCUUCUCUUAAGGGGCUGGGUGGGGGGUGGAGGGCGGGCCAGAGGCGCCCUUGGAGAGAAGGUCUGAGGACACCCGAGGACGGGGCAGGCGGGGAGGAGGCAGGAACGUGAAGUGAGAAAUGGUCACAGGGCCUCCUGGUCGGGAUCAGCAACCCUCCAAGGUGGUUCUGCCGCCCGGGGUCCAGAUCAAGAGUGAGGGCUGGGAAUUAGCACCCUGAGGCGGAGACGUCCACUCAGAAGCCACCGUGGGGCGGUUCAGCCUGUCCGCCCCCAACUGCCCCAGCCCUGCGUUCCGUCAACCGUCCUGAGACGCCCCAGCUCCCGGGACCUCUGCACACGGUCAUCCCGGUGCCCUCACUCUAGGAUGAUAAACUCACAGCCCUCUCUGAGCCCAAGAGCACCUGUGCUCCCGUCUACUGCAGCGAGUACAACCUGACUUGCAGGCUAAUUCACAAAACACUGGACAUCACGACAGGCAAGGCUACAUGCGUGUCUGCCCCACUGGUACCUGCAGUAAUAGGUAAUAUUGUGUCUCAAGGACGGAGGUUAUCUCCUAUCUUCUUUGCCUAGUGCAGCUGACAUUUAAUAAAUAUUUGUUUAUUCCUCCCACUGCUUCCCUCGCUAUACCAACAUGCUGUCGAAAGACUGACGUGUGCUCAAGGAUGUCAACUUGAAUCACUCCAGACCAUCAGAACAAUCCUCUGAAUUACAUUCCUUUCAUGCUAAUCAUGAAACAGUGGGAGCAGUGACAGACUUUAUUUUCUUGGGCUUCAAAAUCACUGCGGAUGGUAACUGCAGUCAUGAAAUUAAAAGGUGCUUGCUCCUUAGAAGAAAAGCUAUGACAAACCUACAUAGUGUAUUAAAAAGCAGAGACAUCUCUUUGCCAUCUAAGGUCUGCAGAGUCAAAGCUGUGGCUUUUCUAGCAGUCAUGUAUGGAUAUGAGUUGGACCAUAAAAAAAACUGAGCGCUGAAGAAUUGAUGCUUUCGGACUGUGGUGCUGGAGAAGACUCUUGAGAGUCUCCUGAACUGCAAGGAGAUCACAGCAAUCAAUCCUAUAAAUCAACUAUGAAUAUUCACUGGAAGGGACUGAUGCUGAAGCUCCAAUACUUUGGCCACCUGAUGCAAAGAUUCUACUGAUUGGAAAAGACCCUGAUGCUGGGAAAGACUGAGGGCAAAAGGAGAAGGGGCAGAGAGGAUGAGAUGGUUGGAUGGCAUCACCGACUCAAUGGCGUGGAUUCUUUAUCAGCUGAGCCACAAGGGAAGCCCAAGAAUACCGGAGUGGGCAGCCUAUCCCAUCUCAAGUGGAUCUUCCCGACCCAGGAAUUGAACCGGGGUCUCCUGCAUUGCAGGCGGCUCCUUUACCUACUGAGCUAUGAGGGAAGCCCAGAGGGCAAGAAGCAGAGAGAAACAGAGACACGGCUUUUGUGUGGAUCCUGUGCGCACGGACUUAACGCAUGUUCACGCCCCUGGCCCUGGACUGGCACAGGUCUGAACUGCAUGGGACCACUUGUAUGUGGAUUUUCCAGUAAACACAGUACCGGCAUUUUCACUUUACAGAUCUCUAAAUGAACUACUUUACAGAUCUCUAAAUGAACUAACUGCGGGAUUACAGAUCACAGCAUGUGCAAUCAAAAGAACUAGGGUUUGAGCCCUGAUUCUGUCCAAACUGUUGCAGCUUCCUGCCCUGGGGGUAAGUCACUGGUCAAUUCCAGGUUCUGAGGCAGAGAGAGAAAAGUACCUGGAUUUUUGACUACUGGGUGGGGGGCGGAGAAGGGGGUCAAAGCCCUUGGGUUAACUCCUGCAUUGUUCAAGGGUCAACUGUAUACCUAAAACAAAAGGUUUGUGAAAUAAAUUUUAUCCAUUUUACUGGCAAUACAUUCAUUUUAAUAAUAUAUUUACAGCCUAUCUCACUAAAAAAGAAAAUUUCUAGUUGAAAAUCCACGAACCAGGAGGUGAGGGCCCAUGUUUGGAAAUCACUGAUAGGUCUGCAUCCAGAAGGGGCACAUAGCCAGGCAGUGAGGUGUGUGACCUGGUCUGCUAAGCUGGUCUCCAAACC